UAGGGAAUCUUCCGCAAUGGGCGAAAGCCUGACGGAGCAACGCCGCGUGAGUGAUGAAGGUCUUCGGAUCGUAAAACUCUGUUAUUAGGGAAGAACAAAUGUGUAAGUAACUAUGCACGUCUUGACGGUACCUAAUCAGAAAGCCACGGCUAACUACGUGCCAGCAGCCGCGGUAAUACGUAGGUGGCAAGCGUUAUCCGGAAUUAUUGGGCGUAAAGCGCGCGUAGGCGGUUUUUUAAGUCUGAUGUGAAAGCCCACGGCUCAACCGUGGAGGGUCAUUGGAAACUGGAAAACUUGAGUGCAGAAGAGGAAAGUGGAAUUCCAUGUGUAGCGGUGAAAUGCGCAGAGAUAUGGAGGAACACCAGUGGCGAAGGCGACUUUCUGGUCUGUAACUGACGCUGAGGAGCGAAAGCAUGGGUAGCGAACAGG
rnacentral:rRNA from 1 species